GAUGAUCUUAGUUAUCACUUUAUUACUUGAUCUGACAUGUAUAGUUGCACAAUUCGCAUAUCAUAUUCACAUGUGAAACCUUUCAAUAAGGAUUUAUAGUAUGUCAUGCAACAUCUAUUUUAACGUUUCUUUUAACAUUCGUUUCAUCCUACUCCCGACCACUAGCUCUCCAAAUAGGUAGUUCCCUAGAACCCCCUCUACCGUUUGACUCCGCUGGUGGGCUUUUGCCACUACAUUCAUUGGGUGCAGAUAAAAGUUGCCGGUAACUGUAGAAACACAACCGCUUCCGUAGAAAGCUAUUGGAGGGAUCAUGAGAGCACAAUGAAAAACAUUGCAGUUUGAAUCUACUGUUCUAUGGGUACACAGUAAGAUCGUCACAGUUGGAAUCUGCUAUGGCUAUGAGUACAUUGCGGACAUUCGUUUAACUAUGGAGUCACGAUCGCUCGCAGACAAUAGCUGUCAAAAAGAUCGUGCAACACAGCCAGAUUGCAGUUAGAAUUUGUCAUUCUAUGGGUACACAGUUAAUCGUUUGUUCAUGCAGUCCAUAUGAGUUGUCAUUCUUCCUCCUUAUAUAUCGCCCCCAUGCAUAUGCAAUGCAAUCAUUCUUUAAAGCAUUUAUUCAUUCAAUCAUUAAUACUUUCAACAUUCUAUUUCAUUGAAUAAUAAUGACAUUUAUGAUUAUACUCAUCAAUCAAUAGUUCAAUCAUUUAGGCAUACGAGACGGUCAUUUGGCAUUUAUAACAUUGUUAAAUAUGAAAUCAUUCAUGGAUCAAGCAAUCAAUCAAAAGCAAUUAAAAUCAUAAAUUCAUUCAUUCAUAUAUUCAAUCAUUCUAAUCCUAAUCUAGGACCUAAUUGCAUAAUCUAGUUCUCUAGAUGCCAUUAAGAACCUAUUCAGGGACUAAUUUGCAUAAAAUAAUAAAAUAUAAGAUAAAACUAUAAUUUUUGAGAUUUAGGGGUCACGCGACCAU
rnacentral:lncRNA from 1 species